rnacentral:rRNA from 1 species
AUUGAACGCUGGCGGCAGGCCUAACACAUGCAAGUCGAGCGAGCGGCGGACGGGUGAGUAAUGUAUGGGGAACUGCCCGAUAGAGGGGGAUAACUACGGGAAACGGUAGCUAAUACCGCAUACGAUCGGAUGAACCCAAAUGGGAUUAGCUAGUAGGUGGGGUAAAGGAUCACCCAGUCGACGAUCUCUAGCUGGUCUGAGAGGAUGCACAGCCACACUGGGACGGAGACCCGGUCCAGACUCCUUCGGGAGGCUGCAGUGUGGCAUCUUGCACAAUCGGCGCAAGCCUGAUGCAGCCAUGCCGCGUGUAUGAAGAAGGCCUUAGGGUUGUAAAGUACUUGCAGCGUGGAGGCGUUACCCGCAGAAGAAGCACCGGCUAACUCCGUGCCAGCAGCCGCGGUAAUAC